rnacentral:misc_RNA from 1 species
UCCCCGUUACCGAGGCAGUCUGGUUAGAAAAAUCCAACUAACCACGAGGGUUGCGCUCGUUAAGGGACUUAACCCUACAUCUCACGACACGAGCUGACGACGGCCAUGCAUCACCUGUCACUUGAUUCCCAUUGCUGGGCACUCUGGCAUUUCUGCCGGAUUCCAAGGAUGUCAAGUCUGGGUAAGGUUCUUCGCGUAGCCUCGAAUUAAACCACACGCUCCACCGCUUGUGCGGGUCCCCGUCAAUUCCUUUGAGUUUUAGCCUUGCGGCCGUACUCCCCAGGCGGGAUGCUUAACGCGUUAGCUUCGCUACUCAAAACGGGUCGAUACGUUCAAGCAGCUAGCAUCCAUCGUUUACGGCGUGGACUAC